AGGGGCACCUCUCUCCUGUCAUUGUAGCCUGGAGAGAGUGAUUGUGAGGUAAUCUGAGGGGGUGGUGAAAGGACUCUGGGGCAAGUUGUGCCAGUCCAUCCUCAGGGGAUUGAAUGAGUGAAGGGAAACAGGGAAAGGGGGAUUAGAGAUACUGGUUUAACUACCUCCUUUUCAAUCUGUCCUAGGAAAAGGGAAGAGUCAGGUCAUCUCUCUUCUGUCUCUUCUUCUCAAGAGCUGUGGAAACCAGCAAGAGGACAAGGGCACCUUUCAAUAAGCUCCAUACAGCACAACCUGAAGAACAACAGCUGUCGACAGCUGGGUAGCAAGGGUGAAGAGUGGAUCUUGGACACUCAAAGGAGGUGUAGGGCACCUGUUAGAGCAUAAAGGUAAAAAAGAGAAAGUUUCAAGAGAAGGAAUUGCCAGUCUGAAAGCGAGAGUGACGUCAAGAAGCACCUGAAUAGAGGUAUCAGACUUGACCAAAAUGAAGCCAGGAGGUUGAAUCCAGCAAGACUUAAGCCCACAGCAGCAGUGCACCCAAGGAGACAGAGGGAGACUCACAAUAGGUCCAGGUGAGUACAGGGCACAAAGUUCAAAGGAAACUCUGGCAGCCUAGGGAAGAACAUUCUGCAUUAUGCCAAUUUACCCCAAGAAUUUUGACCAAGAAUAUAAUCCACCU
rnacentral:lncRNA from 1 species